AAUGAAAUGCCUGAAAAAAGGAUUAUUUUGAUAGGAUAAAUCAUGAAAAUUACAUAUUUUCUUUCAUUA
rnacentral:tRNA from 1 species